rnacentral:rRNA from 1 species
UACGUAGGUGGCAAGCGUUGUCCGGAUUUAUUGGGUUUAAAGGGUGCGUAGGUGGUCUAUUAAGUCAGUGCUGAAAUAUCCCGGCUUAACCGGGAGGGUGGCAUUGAUACUGAUGGACUUAAGUAAAGUUGAGGUGGGCGGAAUUGACGGUGUAGCGGUGAAAUGCUUAGAUAUCGUCAAGAACACCUAUUGCGAAGGCAGCUCACUAAGCUUUAACUGACACUGAGGCACGAAAGUGUGGGGAUCAAACAGG